GGCCAAUGAUGCAUUCAUAAAUUUGUCCGUACCAUAUGAGAAGUCAUUUUACUAAAGACUUCUUUGAUGCGUUCUUAGCUUCUGAGGCCU